GACGAACGCUGGCGGCGUGCCUAAUACAUGCAAGUAGAACGCACAGUUUAUACCGUAGCUUGCUACACCAUAGACUGUGAGUUGCGAACGGGUGAGUAACGCGUAGGUAACCUGCCUGGUAGCGGGGGAUAACUAUUGGAAACGAUAGCUAAUACCGCAUAAUAUUGAUUAUUGCAUGAUAAUUAAUUGAAAGGUGCAAUUGCACCACUACCAGAUGGACCUGCGUUGUAUUAGCUAGUAGGUGAGGUAACGGCUCACCUAGGCGACGAUACAUAGCCGACCUGAGAGGGUGAUCGGCCACACUGGGACUGAGACACGGCCCAGACUCCUACGGGAGGCAGCAGUAGGGAAUCUUCGGCGAUGGACGAAAGUCUGACCGAGCAACGCCGCGUGAGUGAAGAAGGUUUUCGGAUCGUAAAGCUCUGUUGUAAGAGAAGAACGGGUGUGAGAGUGGAAAGUUCACACUGUGACGGUAUCUUACCAGAAAGGGACGGCUAACUACGUG
rnacentral:rRNA from 1 species